ACUUUUAGUGACCCCAUGAACUGCAGCCUACCAGGCUCCUCCGUCCCUGGGAUUUUCCAGGCAAGAGUACUGGAAUGGGUUGCCAUUCUUCACACCCUGACUCCCAUGCAUCUUUAACCAGCCCACUGUCCUCUCUCAUCUGAUGAUGAAAUGACCUCUGAAGGGAUUCCCCACUGCUGUCUCUUCCCAAAAAUGAGCUGAAGCAUCGUCUUGGAACAGAGAACAUGCCACUUGCAGCUGAAAGCUGCACGGUUGUUCCGUGUCACCCUGGGAGAUUCCAGGUGCCUGCACAUGAACAUGGGCCCUGAGGCUUCCAUGGUCCAUCCAUCCUCCUUCAUCUCCCUCUGUGCUUCCGCCUACAACCACUGGCAUGGCUUAUCUUCCCAGCCCUGGGGCUAUGGCACUGGCUGCUCCCCUGCCUUGAAUCCUUUCCCACAAGUGUUACUUCUGGAGAGACCCUGCCCCAUCAUCCUCCACCACACCCCACCCUCUGUUCACACUGAUCCAAGGCCCUUUUCCUGGACUGGUUUUCCUCAUAGCACCAGCCCCUGUCUGGUAUUAAGCACAUGUUGCCCCAGAAGGUGGUUCUAUUUGAGGGCAUGGAGCCCAGUCUGGUACAGAGUAGAAACUCACAUGACAAUGAACUGAAACAGUGACUGACUGCAAAUCAGUGUACACGUGUCAUUUAGAAAUGUGGAGGAAAUGAGGAAGAAACCGCUAAAGGUGAGAGAGCUGGUAGGUGCUAGAAAAUUUGCUUUUGGCCUCUAAGCCUUUCAGCAGAAGGUGAUGUCAUAUAUUUUUUGCAUAAAAUAUUAAAAAUUAGAACAAAAAAUUUUAAUAUAAUUUUUUCCCUAAAAGUCACAUGAUACAAAUCAAUUUCUGAGGCAUUUUAAUUGAGACUUGACUGACUUUACACUGGAUUGUACUGUGCUUCAGAGCCAGACCAGGGAAGCUCCCUAGGAUGGGGUGGAGUGCUUGAAGAGCAGUAGCGCUCACCUCUUCUGGCAGUGAGCUCAUUCUUCCACCUGUUGCCACACUUGAUGCCAAGCUCCUGGCUGUACUUGUCCCCGUAACAGACCAGCAGCUUGCAGCCCGGCCUGACCACCUGGCAGGUUCAGAAGAAGAUCUGCCUGUGAUUCAGGAAGGGUACCAGGUUCUGCUCCUUGUCCCAGGCACAGUUCACAUAAGUGGGGUUGAGGCCAGGAAAGGGGAAGAAACCACAAGUGAUGAGUCCCCUCCACCUGUCAGACCCAAUCCCAGCUCCUGGCCUUCACUCUCUGAGGCCACCACAGACCACACCACCCCUCCUGGGGACUUCCUGUUCACACUUUUGACCACACCAUGUGAAUUCCUAUUUCCAGUCCUCUUCCUGGCUGGAACGCUUUUCUCUCCUUACCUAAUUAGCCAUUUUCCAGAGCCCAGUUCCACAUUUGUCUCCACCUGGACUGACCUUAGUAAGACUGGUGAGGUCUAGCUCCUCUGAACUCAAAGUUCUCAUUCCACAGAACUUGGUAUUUCUAGGCCUAGCACGCACUCCUUAGCACUCACCCCAGCCUGAAUUCUCGUCCAAGGCCUUUCUCCAGUCUCCCCACUUGUAUCCAGGGGUCCCAUUCACUUGCUGACCCCUUCCCGUGGAAACUUGGAGAGUGCUCUGACUUAGCUCAAGACACAGAAUAGUAAUAUUCACUUUCUGCCUCCCCUGAUGAAAGGCCCUCAGAGAAAGGUCCUGACCCCCAUUCCUUCCCAGGCCUCAGGGCCCACUUCUCACUGGAGCUUAGCCUGGGGAGGUUGCUGCCCUCAUGGGCUCAAGGUCCCUCAGGUUAUCCUGGUACAAUUCUUCAAAAGUAGAAAAAUUAAGGUUACAUAUUCCUAAAACCAGUUGGUUAAUUUCUAUCUGAAGUAUGUCCUCCAAAAGGACACGGGUUGUGUGAUCUGCUUCAGUAAUGAAUUCUACUGUCUAAACUGGAACACAGAAAGUGGUUGGUAAGGGUCAGUUAGGUGAGUUAAAGUGUCCCUGGUGAACCUACACUCCUCAAGUUGUUUUCAAGUACCCCAGUUUUGUUGAGCAUAGAGACUUACAUUUUGAGGGCAUAUACUACAUUUUUAUUUCUUUCAUUCUAUUGUCUUUUGAAAUGAAAGAACGUAGUAUGACGGAAAAAGAGGAAAGAUGUGAAAUCUAUUGAAGGAGGCUGGUUGAGAAGGAAAGGGGUGUGGGCUUGAGGGAGGAGCGACCUUUAUAACUUGCAGACUCACUGGACUCAUCUCAUUUAGUUGGCCCAAGAUGUGUCCUUUCCAUCCACAUACUCAUAGCAGUUUCUCCCUUUGGUGAUCUGAGUGCCAAAAAAAGUGUUAUAAACUUCUCUUUUUCUUUUUUGGUGGGAGGUAAUAGAAGAGUUAUUUCCCUCUGCUAUCAUCAGUGCUCUUCAGCCUGCAUGAAUUCAAUUGCCAGUCGUGACCACGUGGUAAGCUCCUUAAUCAUCACCUCCAUGUCUGAGUCUGUUGGUGCACUCAGGGCAAGGACUCCACACGGGAGGAGCCACUUCUGUGUGCCUGUGCCACUGUGCUUCCACCUCUCCUCUGGUCUUUAGAUAGAAGUCCUGUGUUGAUGCACAGUGCACAAAGUAUACAGGGCUGACCAUGUUAUCCUCAUCCACGUCCUCACAUGUAGACGUGAGGUCCCCCGCUACAUGCACAAGUGAUUGGAGGUCAGAGGACAGGGAAAGAGGGAUGUUCUCACCAGCCAGGAGUAUCCACUGUUGGCAGCCUCUUCAUCUGUAAUCUGGCCCUUGUAGAGGCAAAGUGCAGGCCCAGCGGCAGAUCAGACACCUCGUUCCACACUCCAAGCCCAGCCUCAGGGAUACCUGAUGGUCUGAUACCUAACCCAGAAGGAAGACUGAGGGCUGAGCGAUUGGCAUGCACCUUUUCCACUGCUGAGUCAUUUACAAAGGUUGGGAGCUCAUGAACAGCACAGCUGUCAGUGAAGUUCUAACACUUCUUACAAUCUGGAGGCGAGAGCAACGGGGAUGAGGGGAGGUAUAGUGAUGUUGCUGGUCAUAAAGAACUUCAGAAUGAACCGGGGUGCUCACGGCAUUUGGCCUUGAUCCUGUACCCCAAAUCAUAGAGGAAAGGGAUGAUUGGGGGACCAAAUGGUGAGGUUAUAUUAUUGUGCCAAGGCCUCAUAACCCCUUCUCCGUGAAUGGGCCCAUGGGGUCACUCAUAUAGGUAGUCGUCAUCCUGGGGCUCGCUGACCUCUUGGUACACAUGGCUCGCUCUUUCUCGUAGGCUGUACAUCUUCACUUCAGUCUCCUUUCGAAUGGGCCCGUGGGGUUACUCACAGAGGUAGUCGUCAUAUCCUGGAGCUCGCUGACCUCUUGGUACACAUGGCUCGCUCUUUCUCGUAGGCUGUACAUCUUCACUUCAGUCUCCUUUCUUCUGAGUUCUGAGUUGGAGAAGAGAAGCUGAGCAAGGCUGGUGGGGUCUGGAGAGUUAGAUCCUGUUUGAUCAGAAACUGUGAUUUCACCCACCUGUUGAUCUAUAUACUUUGUUAAAAAUUUUUUUGCAUUUAUUUUUAAAAAAUUUUAUUUAUGUAUUUUUAUUCGUUAAUGUUACAUUAUUUAUUGGCCGCACUGCAUGGCGUGUGGAAUCUUAGUUCCCUGACCCAGAAUGGAACCCAGCAUCCUGCAGUGGAAGCACAGAGUCUUAACCACUUAACCACCAGGAAAGUCGCUUCUCUGUACUUUGUUUUUCCUCCCUUUAACUAUUGGUUCAGAGAGACUGACGCUACACACUGACUAAAGAUGCCCAGUUUAAUGUUAGCAUCCUGUACUUCCUAUUAGUAGGUUUAAUUUCCCAACCUUAUUAUUUAGAAGAUAGUUCACGGACACAUCUACUCAGAAAAUAUAUGUUGAGGGCACAUUACAGAUAAGGCAUUGUGCAGAAGCCUGGGCAUAAACACGAACAAAGCAUAGCCCUAUUAUCACAGCUGGACUUACUGAACAACUUCAAUGUGUCAACACUUUUAUAUUUAAUUUAAUGCUUUCAAACACUUUACAGUGUGUUUGAAAGCAAUAAGAAGAUUGCUUAUCUUCACUUUACAGAUGAGCAAUCAGAACCUCAGAAAAUUUGUAAGAUUUUCCUUUCCAAAGGCCACAGUGCUAAACCAGAUCAGUCCAGCUUAAACCCACACCUACCGAAAGUCUACCCUACAUACCUGGGCCAUAGUUGUUAGCCUUUCCAGAGGAAUUAGUGGAAGUGAAAUACCCAAAUUAUUUCCUCUUACCCACUUUUUGUCUGGGGUGCUGUUCAGAGGUACUUGCUUCUCUGGGAGGGGGCACUGGUAUCUGGGCCUGCUUGGGGCCACUUGUCUUCAGCAAUUUUGCUGCUCCUGGCAAUUCCUUCUAGUCUAGGUUCGUUUCUUACUAGUGCCCUGGACAUUCCCUUCUGUGUGAGAGUCACAUAGUAAAAAAGAACAUACAUUUCUUUAGUUCUUUAGGACUUUAUGAAGUGUUUUCCCAAGCAUGAUUUUAGUUAAUACUUUGACAAUUCUUGGAAAUAUCCAGUGUUGCAGGCGGAGGAGGAGCGGAGAGGAGGUCUGAACACUGGAGUGUAAAUAAAGUGGGUAGUGAAUCAAAGCUAGAACUCAUAUCUUAAGGUUCUUUCCCUUCAACUUUCUCCAUAAAAGUGAGAGCAAGGCAGGGAGAAUAGCUGGAGAAUCAACAAGGUCAGGAAAGAAGAGGGUAGGGGCUCAGAGAAAACUGGGGUGGGGGGUGGGGUUUCUAUUAAAUAGUGCCCUUUGAUGAAUCCUCAUUCAUCAAAGGAAAACUACUACUCAGUGUGGAAAACUACUGAGGGGAAAAAACACAUCUGGAAAAUGAGGUGACAAAGCAGUGAGAUUGGGAAGACAAAAGACGACUGGCAGAAACAUACAUAGACAAAGAAAAUAAGCUGAAGCUUGCAGAUUGCUAUGUUCUAGAGACAAUGUUUGGAAUUAAAGUAGCUGGUCCCAUCAAUUCUGCUUGAAUAAGGUUGUACAACUAGCUGGUUUUCCUGAGUUUGCUGAUCCAUAAAUUGGUAUACAUAAUAAUUCUUAAAUGUUAUAGUGGACAUGAAACUUAAUAGCAUUCAACAAAAUGUUCUGUUAUAGCCACGCCUUCUGGGAAAGAAACUCACUCAGAAGGACAAUGCAGAUAAUGGAGUGCAGUUUAUUACACUGGCGCCCAAGGCAGAGUCUCCUCUUAGCCAAGGACCCCGACCAGCACUUGGCCUCAGAUGGAGUCCAGGCCCUAUGAAUUCGUCUUCACUGUGAGCUAUUUAAUACAGUAUGAAUGUGAGAGUCCAUCUCUACUAUCAAUUUACCCCCUCAGCUGUCUGUAUUUGAAGUUGGGCUCACAGAUACUAUCUUCAGCAUUCCCAGGAUUCCUUGACCUUCUUCCUACUAGGUGAAUGUUUAAAUGUGGAUUCACUCAUUCAGAAAACAUUCAGGGGGCCCUCAGGGGCUGUUAGCUGGGACUGAGCUUCUAAGAAUUAACAGAUAUAGGCUAGGCUCUCAAAGCUCACGGUACAGGGGCAGGCUAAACAAAUUAUUCUGUUAGGUAGUUAGAAUAGGAAAAAGGAGUCCAGAAUGGCGGUGACUAAAAGACACGGAAGGGAAAAGCCCCUGAAAACAGAACAAACGAAGGUCCAAGGACUGGAGUGAGGACCUCAGGUAGAACAAACAACACCCCUGGCUAGCCCAAUUUACAUAGGGUAAGCUCAGGGGGAGGAAACACCAUGUAAAAAGAGGAGCCAAAGGGUUGGGGGUCUCUCUCUCCCCCAAGCGCUCGUUCUCUCUCUUUUCUUCGGUCUUUGGGUUGGCAUGCCCUCACGCCUCGAGGAUGUAUUUUCCUCUUAUUUUCUAAAUAAAACUGAGCUGUGACAUAGAGCUAUAAUGCUGAUGUGUCCAAGAACUAUAACACGGUCUGUUCGAGACCUGAGAGGUAUAACAUGGUCUGUCUGAGAGCUGUUAAAUGCCGAGGCCUUAAUGUCAAUCGCUUCAAAUUUUUGUUGAGAUGAGACAGAACCAAGUCUCCUUGGUAAUCUCUUACACUCCCCUGACAUUUAUGGUGCUGUGACUUGGGUUUAAUCUGGCUGAAACAACCUGAGCGCAGUCCCCUUCAAGGAGGAGGCCAAGCACAGCAGGAGCCCAACUUGGUGAAAGCUCCUGAGGUAGAAGCGGAAUGCGAAGAAAACCCAGCGCAGGGGAAGUGACAAGAGGCCCAUCGUGCUGGAAACUGGGACAGGGAAAAACGAACUCAGCAGAAAGCUCACGCGACUCAGUCUCCGAUUCCAGAAGACCUCCAGUUAAGGUAGGAGGUCCUCGCUCCUAUGGCCGGAGGGACACAUGCCUAACAAAAUCUUAAUUCCUUUACAGUCUCAACCUCCUGGAAACAGGUGGGUGGCAGUGGGUGCAGUUGAGGGACUCUGGAGAGGCUACUCUUUGGUAUGUCCCAAAGGCACUACCUGCUGAGCCCCAGUAGCUAUUACCCAAGCCAGUGGGGGUUCUUCUGUCCUUAAUCUUCUUUGUGCCAAGGAUCAGGCCAAUGAAAGCUGGGAGCACAGGUCAGCUAUUUAGCAGAUUUUCCGGCAGGGUAUGAAGGGGAUUCCUUGGCACAUUUUCCCCACUGCUUUUUCCUCCUGUCCUUUAGCUCUCUCUCCCGGAACUCAGAACCCAGCGAAAACCCAGGAUGCCUGACUUCAGGACCUAAUGAAACUCAGGCUCUGAUGUCUCAUUGCAAACAUUCUCUCACAUUGCAAACACUGUGAGAGACACAGUGACAGGUAAGAGGUGGAUUUGUUAGGAUCCAGAGAGAAGCACACUGCAGGGUGUGGGCUAUUGCAGAGGGCUCUGGACAGGAAUGAGGCCUGGCUAGGUUUUGCCAGCUGAGUUAAUUAAUAUGCUAAUGAGUGGGAGGAUCAUCCCAGCCAUUGGGGAACCACCCACUCCUCUGUCUUUUGACAGUGACUUGGAGCUGGGUGUGUCAUUUAGCUUACAGAUUGGGGAUAAAGGUUUACUUGAAUUUUACUUGUCAUCUUGGACCCAGUUGAUUUUAAUCAGUUUAUGUUAUGCCCUUGUGCUAUGUCAUUCUUUCAAAGGUUGUGCCCUGCCCCCUUCCCUCCUAUUUCAUACUUUUUUCCUGAGGCCCAUUCAGGCCCACAAAGUGCCUCUAUAACCUUCUGGAGGGACAACUAGAAAAUAGCUAGCUCUUGGGAGGGAAAUACUGUAUAAUAUCCAAUCCUUCUAGAUAUUCAGCACUUCAUCUUCCAUGUUUCCUACAUGUGCAACAUCAGCGUCUCUCAGUGAACCUACUGGGGUGAGAGACAGGCACACAAUGCCUGCUAGAAGUUCAUCAGUUGGCAUCCCUUCAAAGGCAAUUGGGUUUCCAGGGAUAAUGUUUGCCACUUUGGGAGUUAGCCUUGCAAGCUGUUUGGGCCCAAACCCUUACCACCCUUCUCCUAAAGUUAUAAACAUACCCCCGGAUCAAAUCUCUACUCCACUUUUAUGGAACAUCUGGUAUGUUGCCUCUUAACAAAUUUGUUCUUAAGCCAAUUACUAACUCCUACAAUCAAGACCCUGCCCCUUGUAGGCAACCUUGCCCCCUUGUUGCUCCACCUAGUCUAUUAUUAAAACACCUUAAUGCCCCUAACAGGGCCAGAUAACCCACUCCUUUGUCAUUACUUCUUUUAUUACGUAAAGUGGGUCUAUGACAACAAUGCUUACCAGGGGAGACACCCUAAACUGCUCUUAUGGAGGACUAAGGGAAGAAAUCAAUGACUUAAAUCCCUUAGAGUAGUAACAGGAUAAGGCUUAUGACUGUUUCACUGUUUCCCAGUCUCAGGACAUAGGCUUGGAUUGCUUUACAUCAUGAUACCUAUUCCCAUCUGAACAAAAUGAGUUAAAAUUACAACCCCUUAAUUCUACCCAGCACUGGUCAUGCUGGAGACCUUGGGGACGCCCAACUUCAGUCCGGGGGUCCCAGGAGGUCAACCUGCCUUGACCUGCCUAGGGAUCUGGUCCUCGAAAGAUUGUCACGCCUCAACCUGCUUUUGUUCCGCCAGUCCAGGGGUCCCAGGAGGUUGUCACACCUUGAUCUGCCCAGGGACCCAAUUCUCGGGAGGCCAACCUGCCUUGACCUGCCUGGGGAUUCAAUCUCCAGGAGACUGUCAUGCCUCAGCCUGCCUGGGGAUCUGCACCCUGACCUGGGGACGCCUGGCUGUCAGGUUGCCACAGUUCUGGCACUGAAGCGGCCCGCUCCAGCCAGCCCACCUGUCAUAGAUGACCAUCACAGGGCUAGAGCCAAGGGUGCAACUGGAUGUGGCAGGUAGGUCCGAGAAUUUCUUGGUUGACAUGGCAGCUACCUACUCUGUCUUGAUCUCCUACUCCAGAGCCUUCUCCUCCCAAACCUGUACCAUUUUGGGUGCUACAGGAAAAACAACUACUAAAAGAGUCAACUGAGCACUUCUUUGUUGCUGGGAUGGACAAAUAUUUUCCCACCAGUUUCUGGUGGUCCCUUAGUGCACUACUCCUUUAUUGGGAAGAGAGAUACUCACUAAACUGGAGACCACCCUUGUGAUGGGAAGCUUUUCAGCCUCUAGAGCCCUACAGCUUCUGGUUACUACUGAAGAACCCAUUACACCCUCUCCAAUAGAGAGGGACAAAAAACUAUGAGAGGACAAAAUUAACUCCCAGGUGGGGGACAAGGGGACUCCUGGAUGAGCCCACCAAGCUGAACCGGUUAUCAUUGUCCUCCAAGAUCUCACUCGGUUUCCCAACUGGAAACAAUAUUCCCUCAGAAGAGAGGCUCGGGAGGGACUACAGUCUUUAACAAAUAAAUUCCUUGCUUGUGGGUUAUUGGUACCCACCAAUUUGCCAUGUAACACUCCAGUCCUCUCAGUAAAGAAGAAGGGUGGAACCUGGCGAAUGGUUCAAGAUCUCCCAAUCAUAAAUGAAGCUGUAGUCCCCCUCCGUCGCACAGUAUCCACUCCCUGUGUAAUCUUGGGAGAAAUCCCACCCAGUGCCAAGUGGUUUACAGUCUUAGAUCUCAAAGAUGCAUUUUUUUUUGCAUACCACUGGCUAAAGAAGCCAAAUAUCUUUUUGCCUUUGAGUGAGAGGCCCCAGGAGAAAAAACGCCAACAGAUAACUUGGACAGUAUUACCUCAGGCGUUCAGAGAUAGCUCCCACCUGUUUGGACAGGCCCUUAGCCGGGGUCUCCUAGAUCUGGACCUGGGACCUCAUGGGAAAAUACUACAACACGUAAAUGAUCUACUAAUCUGCUCUCCAGAUGAGAAAAAUGCCCAACAACAUGCAAUUCAGGUUUUAAACUUUUUGGCAGAGGAUAUAAAAUCUCCCAUGCUAAGGCACAGAUGGUCAAGACAAAGGUCGCUUACCUGGGAGUUCAGAUUACACAGGGGUCCAGGAGGCUGUCCUCUGAUCGGGUACAAGGAAUCCUCCAGUUGCCCUCCCCCACAACUCGAAAUCAAUUGCAAUCUUUCCUGGGGCUAACUGGAUAUUGUAGAAUCUGGAUACCCAACUAUGGUCUAAUUGCCCAGCUUAAAGGGACAGGAUGAUUCAAUCCCACUUAUGUGGGGAACUCCUCAAAAGAAGGCAGAGGCUACACUAAAAGAAGCCUUAACUCAGGCACCUGCCUUGAGGUUGCCAGACCCAGAAAAAGCAUUCCAACUUUAUGUCCAUGAAAGAAAGGGAAUAUCCUUGGGAGUGUUAACUCGAAGGUUGGGAUCUGAGCCCCAGCCUGUAGCUUGCUUAUCCAAGAGGCUCGACCCAACUGCUUGAGGCUGGCCCCCCUGCCUUCGAAAUCUUGUAGCUAUUGCAAUCCUGAUAGAAGAUGCUUUGAAACUCUCUUUUGGGGGCAAACUAUUUUUACCAGCCACCAAGUGAAACAGCUCCUAAAUAGGAGAGGCCAUUAUGGAUGUUUGAUCAAAGAAUUCUCAGAUAUCAAGUAGUGCUAAUGGAAAAUCCAGGUCUCACUAUAUCCCCUUGUGAGGUUCUUAACCCAGCCACCCUCCUGCCUACCCCAGAGGGCUCUCUCCGCUUUUACUCUUGUCUAGAAACCUUGGAUCACUGGACAAAACCCCGAGAGGGAUUGUUAGAAGAUCCUCUGAUCAAUCCUGAGGAAAUCCGGUUCACUGAUGGAAGCAGCUUUGUCUUGGAUGGAAAAAGAAGAGUCGGAUAUGCAGAAGUCUCCAGUUUUGAUACCAUAGAGGCUAAGCCUCUGCCACCAGGUCAACAAGCUACAACAUGCAGUGCCAGUUCAACAAAGAUAC